rnacentral:lncRNA from 1 species
AGGUUAGCAAUUGUUACAAAGAAUAUAUAUAUACAUAUAGAAUCUGGCUACUAUACUCUUAUGAGUACGAUCACUCUCAUACUCAUAAGUCGUUUUCGAUGAUAGAACUUCCGAAUCGACAAUCUAUACCAUUAAACAUUAUUUAGAACAUUUAAAACUUCUAGAAAUCAAAUUUCAUAAUUUUUCGAUAUCAUUUACCUUACAAUCAAAAGCUCACAAAAUUGACAAUUUUUAACGGCCGGUAGGGAUACUUGCUAGUUU